rnacentral:rRNA from 1 species
GGCGGCAGCCUAACACAUGCAAGUCGAGCGGUAGAGAGAAGCUUGCUUCUCUUGAGAGCGGCGGACGGGUGAGUAAUGCCUAGGAAUCUGCCUGGUAGUGGGGGAUAACGUUCGGAAACGGACGCUAAUACCGCAUACGUCCUACGGGAGAAAGCAGGGGACCUUCGGGCCUUGCGCUAUCAGAUGAGCCUAGGUCGGAUUAGCUAGUUGGUGAGGUAAUGGCUCACCAAGGCGACGAUCCGUAACUGGUCUGAGAGGAUGAUCAGUCACACUGGAACUGAGACACGGUCCAGACUCCUACGGGAGGCAGCAGUGGGGAAUAUUGGACAAUGGGCGAAAGCCUGAUCCAGCCAUGCCGCGUGUGUGAAGAAGGUCUUCGGAUUGUAAAGCACUUUAAGUUGGGAGGAAGGGUUGUAGAUUAAUACUCUGCAAUUUUGACGUUACCGACAGAAUAAGCACCGGCUAACUCUGUGCCAGCAGCCGCGGUAAUACAGAGGGUGCAAGCGUUAAUCGGAAUUACUGGGCGUAAAGCGCGCGUAGGUGGUUUGUUAAGUUGGAUGUGAAAUCCCCGGGCUCAACCUGGGAACUGCAUUCAAAACUGACUGACUAGAGUAUGCAAGAGGGUGGUGGAAUUUCCUGUGUAGCGGUGAAAUGCGUAGAUAUAGGAAGGAACACCACUGGCGAAGGCGACCACCUGGACUAUUAUGGACACU